AAGAAAACAAAAAAAUUACCAUCGGGAAACACAAGUUAACUGGACUCUUACGACAAAAGAUAAGGAGUAAGACAAAACAGAAUAGCUUUGAUUUCUGCAAUUUUAACGAAAGAAGUAAUAGUUGGAAAGUUGUAGGAAAUCUGAAGAAAAUAAUUACUUUUGCUGUUGCAUGGGAUGAGACGUACGACUGGGUACAGGCAGCGAGACACACGAGGCACGACAUUUCGGCAAAUGUACAGGCAUUUUCAAUUCAGAUGGCAAAGUGGUAAGAUCAAUCACCUGAAAAUUAA